CCUGUGGUGACUCAUUCAGUUGAGCGAAUCCUGCAGCUGUGCCCAGCCCUGCCCACAACCAGCGGAUUUCCAUGUGCUCAGAGCACAGCCCACUGCCCUGAGCACUUCUUCAUAGGCUGCUCACACCCUGUGCAGUUGUCAGUCCCAGUCAACACACAGCAUGGACAUGAGGACCCCUGCUCAGCUCCUGGGGCUCCUGCUGCUCUGCCUCCCAGGUGCCAGAUGUGACAUCCAGAUGACCCAGACUCCAUCCUCCCUGUCUGCAUCUCCAGGAGACAGAGUCACCAUCAAUUGCAGGGCCAGUCAGGGCAUUAACAAGUAUUUAGCCUGGUUUCAGCAGAAACCAGGGAAAGCUCCUAAGCAACUGAUCUAUUACACAUCCAGUUUGAUCUCUGGGGUCCCAUCCAGGUUCAGUGGCAGUGGAUCUGGGACAGAUUACUCUCUCACCAUCAGCAGUCUACAGACUGAAGAUGUUGCCACAUAUUACUGUCUGCAGUAUGAUAAAAUUCCUCACACAGUGAUAUAAGUCAUAACAUAAACCUCCCAGGGAAGCA